rnacentral:rRNA from 1 species
UGGGGAAUUUUGGACAAUGGGCGCAAGCCUGAUCCAGCCAUGCCGCGUGUNUGAAGAAGGCCUUCGGGUUGUAAAGGACUUUUGUCAGGGAAGAAAAGGCUGUUGCUAAUAUCAGCGGCUGAUGACGGUACCUGAAGAAUAAGCACCGGCUAACUACGUGCCAGCAGCCGCGGUAAUACGUAGGGUGCGAGCGUUAAUCGGAAUUACUGGGCGUAAAGCGAGCGCAGACGGUUACUUAAGCAGGAUGUGAAAUCCCCGGGCUCAACCUGGGAACUGCGUUCUGAACUGGGUGACUAGAGUGUGUCAGAGGGAGGUAGAAUUCCACGUGUAGCAGUGAAAUGCGUAGAGAUGUGGAGGAAUACCGAUGGCGAAGGCAGCCUCCUGGGAUAACACUGACGUUCAUGCUCGAAAGCGUGGGUAGCAAACAGGAUUAGAUACCCUGGUAGUCCACGCCCUAAACGAUGUCAAUUAGCUGUUGGGCAACUUGGUUGUUCAGUAGCGUAGCUAACGCGUGAAAUUGACCGCCUGGGGAGUACGGUCGCAAGAUUA